ensembl:lncRNA
AUGUGGAAAGUGGAGCUUAAUGGCCUUGUGAGCUUGCAGUCCAGGUCAGCAAGGCCACAGGGAACAAGGCUGGAGCCUGCAGUCAGAGGCCGUCUGAGGACUCCCCCAACUCUUGGGUUCUGCGUCUGGUUCCUCGUCCCCUCGCCGAUGGGCUGUCCUGGUCUCGCUGCGCUCUGGCAUUUCAACUAUGUAGGAAGUAGGAGGCCGGACCCAGGAGUGGGAGCGCCAGGAGGAAGCUGGAGUUGGCAUUCUUACGGAGGGCGGUGCCCCUUUUCCUUGCCAAGGCCAAGCACCUUGGCACAGCCUUUGAUCCCAUCUGCACCUCCUCCACCUUCUCGGGCAGCCCCGCUGCCAGCCUUGGGCCUCUUCCUAGNCCUUCCUCCCUUCCCUCCUUCCUUCCUCCUUCCUUCUUUUCCUUCUUCCCUCCUUCCUUCUUUCCUCCUCACUUCUUUCCUUCCUUCCUCCCAUCUCUUUCCAUCUCUUUCCCUUUCUCCCUUUCUUUCCUCAAGAUUACAUCUCAGGACCUCCAGAGCACGGUACUUCUCUGGGUAGAGUUGGUACCCUGCCACCUGUUUGAGUGGCUGGGCAUCUUCCCAAAUGAGCCAACAGGCCUGACCCCACAGCCAUUCCUGGUAGUCUGAAAACAGAUGUUCUUCAUGUCGGUCCAUCACUAUCACUCGCUCAUUAACUGCACCUCCUUAAUUGAACAGUCAAAAGGCCAACCUCAGAAACUGGUGGAUGCUGGCAUGAAAGUUGCUGUAAUAGAAGCAGCCCUUGAAAUUUGCCUCCUGGACUCUGCCAGGCUGGCCGGGCAUGCUUGAGGGCGAGAGCUGUGCAGGGGAGCCGUUUCAAGGAAAGAGGCCUUUUCUCGGAGGGGGAGGAAGAUCUUUGCCCUCCCCGGAAGCUCUGAGGAACGAUGCUAGACAGUAAUGUUGGAGCACCACAUAGCUGCAUGGCAAUCAUUUAGUUUCUGGCCAGAAAAAGAAUGGUGGCCCGGCCGGGCCAAGGGGAUCCCCGCCCCCCUUUUCCUGGACCCCACGUGCUCUCUGUUCCUGCUGAAUUAAUUUCAUGUUCCAGUGAGGCCCGAUGGGAAAUUGGGGUUUUGUGUGGCCAUAUUGCAAAUGCUUUGCUAUUAUAGGAUUUCCUCUCUUUCCUAUGGGUUUCUUCCUUUAGAUAUUUUAGCUUUAUGUUUCUGAGUUUUAUUAGUUUCCUUCUUCAUAUUUUUAAUGGCUUGAGUCAUUUUUUCCUGAUUUUUCUGACAUUUAUUUGAACUUUCAGUUGAGAAGGAGAGGUACAUCCCAUCCUGCUCCAGCUCGCUCAUUGUGGGAAAUGCUGCUGGCCCUGGGCAGAGGGUCAGCCGUUCUCCUGUUUUUCUCCGUGGCUCCAAUUCGGAAGUAUUUACCUUUUUUUUUCAUUUUUAAAGUCGGAACUCUUGGUGUUAAAGUUUGGGUUCAUUUCUGACAGUUUCUUUUUUUUUUCCAGGCAGUUUUGUAGAUCAGGGAUGUCAAACUCAGGUAGAAAUGGCCCCCUGGGGCUGCAUUUUGACUCCCCA